GAUGAACGCUGGCGGCGUGCCUAAUACAUGCAAGUCGAGCGAACAGACGAGGAGCUUUCUCCCCUGACUUUAGCGCCGGACGGGAGAUUAACACGUGGAUAACCUACCUCUAAGACUGGGAUAAUUUCGGGAAACCAGGUCUACUACCGGAUAAUAUAUUGAACCGCAUUGUUCAAUAGUUAAAGACGGUUUUGCUGUCACUAAUAGCUGAAUCCGCGCCGCAUUAGCUAGUUGGUAAGGUAACGGCUUACCAAGGCGACGAUGCGUAGCCGACCUGAUAGGGUGAUCGGCCACACUGGAACUGAGACACGGUCCAGACUCCUACGGGAGGCAGCAGUCGGGAAUCUUCCGCAAUGGGCGAAAGCCUGACGGAGCAACGCCGCGUGAGUGAUGAAGGUCUUCGGAUCGUAAAACUCUGUUAUUAGGGAAGAACAAAUGUGUAAGUAACUAUGCACGUCUUGACGGUACCUAAACAAAAAGCCACGGCUAACUACGUG
rnacentral:rRNA from 1 species